rnacentral:rRNA from 1 species
UACGUAGGGCGCAAGCGUUAUCCGGAAUUAUUGGGCGUAAAGAGCUCGUAGGCGGUUUGUCGCGUCUGCCGUGAAAGUCCGGGGCUCAACUCCGGAUCUGCGGUGGGUACGGGCAGACUAGAGUGAUGUAGGGGAGACUGGAAUUCCUGGUGUAGCGGUGAAAUGCGCAGAUAUCAGGAGGAACACCGGUGGCGAAGGCGGGUCUCUGGGCCGAUACUGACGCUGAGGCACGAAGGCCAGGGGAGCAAACGGGG